rnacentral:rRNA from 1 species
AACUUAAGCAUAUCAAUAAGCGGAGGAAAAGAAACCAACAGGGAUUACCUCAGUAACGGCGAGUGAAGCGGUAACAGCUCAAAUUUGAAAGCUGGCUCUUUUAGGGUCCGCGUUGUAAUUUGUAGAAGAUGCUUCGGGUGUGGCCCCGGUCUAAGUUCCUUGGAACAGGACGUCAUAGAGGGUGAGAAUCCCGUAUGUGACUGGGUGCCUUCGCUCAUGUGAAGCUCUUUCGACGAGUCGAGUUGUUUGGGAAUGCAGCUCAAAAUGGGUGGUAAAUUUCAUCUAAAGCUAAAUAUUGGCCAGAGACCGAUAGCGCACAAGUAGAGUGAUCGAAAGAUGAAAAGCACUUUGGAAAGAGAGUUAAACAGUACGUGAAAUUGUUGAAAGGGAAGCGCUUGCAACCAGACUUGCGCGCUGAUGAUCAUCCGGGCUUCUGCCCGGUGCACUCGUCUGCGCUCAGGCCAGCAUCGGUUUCGGUGGUGGGAUAAAGGCCUUGGGAAUGUAGCUCCUCUCGGGGAGUGUUAUAGCCCUCGGUGCAAUGCCGCCUACCGGGACCGAGGACCGCGCUUCGGCUAGGAUGCUGGCGUAAUGGUUGUAAGCGACCCGUCUUGAAACACGGACCAAGGAGUCUAACAUCUAUGCGAGUGUUUGGGUGUCAAACCCAUACGCGUAAUGAAAGUGAACGGAGGUGAGAACCCUUAAGGGUGCAUCAUCGACCGGUCCUGAUGUCUUCGGAUGGAUCUGAGUAAGAGCAUAGCUGUUGGGACCCGAAAGAUGGUGAACUAUGCGUGAAUAGGGUGAAGCCAGAGGAAACUCUGGUGGAGGCUCGCAGCGGUUCUGACGUGCAAAUCGAUCGUCAAAUUUGCGUAUAGGGGCGAAAGACUAAUC